rnacentral:rRNA from 1 species
AUUGAACGCUGGCGGCAGGCCUAACACAUGCAAGUCGAACGAGUGGCGGACAGGUGAGUGAUAUCUGUGAAACUGCCUGAUGUAGGGGGAUAACAGCUGUAAACGGUAGCUAUUAACGCAUACCCGCAGAUGUGCGCAGAUGGGUUUCGCUAGUCUGUGGGGUAAUGGCUCACCUAGGCGACGAUCCCUAGAUGGUCUGAGAGGAUGACCAGCCACACUGGAACUGAGACACGGCCCAGACUCAUACGGGAGGCAGCGUUGGGGAAUAUUGCACAAUGGGAUCAAGCCUGAUGCAGCCAUGCCGCGUGUGGGAAGAAGGCCUUCGGGUUGUAAAGCACUUUCAGCGAGGAGGCGUUACUCGCAGAAGAAGCACCGGCUAACUCCGUGCCAGCAGCCGCGGUAAUUC